rnacentral:misc_RNA from 1 species
GAAAUGCGAUAAGUAAUGUGAAUUGCAGAAUUCCGUGAAUCAUCGAGUUUUUGAACGCACCUUGCGCCCUUUGGCAUUCCAAAGGGUAUGCCUGUUUGAGUAUCAUGAAAUUCUCAACUCUCCUCAGAUUCCAUCUGUAGGGUGAGCUUGGACUUUGGAGGUUUCUGCUGGCGUUCGCCGGCUCCUCUUGAAAUCAUUAGCUUUGAGUUGAUCUUGACGGCUUGACCGGUGUGAUAAACAUCUACGCCGAUUCAUGCCGUCCUGAGCGACGACGUCGGAGACGCUCUGGCUUAUAACCGUCUUCACUGAAGGACAACGCCCUGAACCUUUGAUCUCAAAUCAGGUAGGACUACCCGCUGAACUUAA